UACGAAGGGGGCGAGCGUUGUUCGGAAUUACUGGGCGUAAAGGGCGCGUAGGCGGCCCCUCUUAGUCGCGUGUGAAAGCCCCGGGCUCAACCUGGGAACGGCGCGCGAAACGGGAGGGCUGGAGUUCGGGAGAGGAGAGUGGAAUUCCCAGUGUAGAGGUGAAAUUCGUAGAUAUUGGGAAGAACACCGGUGGCGAAGGUGGCUCUCUGGACCGAGACUGACGCUGAGGCGCGAAAGCGUGGGGAGCAAACAGG
rnacentral:rRNA from 1 species